rnacentral:tRNA from 1 species
GGGUAAGAAGUUUGUGUGUACAAAUGCUUAGUUUACGGCUGAGAGAGCCUGCUUAACGGGCUUACCUA